ensembl:snoRNA
GCAUGGUAACAUAUUUAUGACAGGUCUUGCCCUGUGAGUCUCUCAUGGUAUGCCUAUUCCAGAGUAAGCUGUAGUCUCAAGUCAUUGUCCAGCCUCCUUCCCUGUGAGCUGUGAGCAAUGAAGGGGGUUACACAGAA